rnacentral:rRNA from 1 species
UUUGACCUCUGGAUCAGGUAGGAAUACCCGCUGAACUUAAGCAUAUC